UUACUACUCCCUCCGACCGAAAAUACUUGUUGAGGAAUGGAUGUAUCUAAUCAUAUUUUAAUUUUAGAUGCAUCCAUUUUUAUCCAUUUGUGCGACAAGUAUUUCCGAACGAAGGGAGUACAUC
rfam:Triticum aestivum genome assembly, contig: Triticum_aestivum_CS42_TGACv1_scaffold_272862_3DS